GACGAACGCUGGCGGCGUGCCUAAUACAUGCAAGUCGAACGCAGUGGGGACGGGUGAGUAACAUGUGGGUAACCUCCCGGCAGAGGGGAUAACACUUGGCAACAGGCGCUAAACCGACACUGAUGGAUGGACCCGCGGUGCAUUAGCCAGUCGGUGGGGUAACGGCUCACCAAGUCCACGAUGCAUAGCCGACCUGAGAGGGUGAUCGGCCACACUGGGACUGAGACACGGCCCAGACUCCUACGGGAGGCAGCAGUAGGGAAUCUUCGGCAAUGGACGAAAGUCUGACCGAGCAACGCCGCGUGAGUGAAGAAGGUUUUCGGAUCGUAAAACUCUGUUGUUAGAGAAGCGGUAUCUAACCAGAAAGCCACGGCUAACUACGUGCCAGCAGCCGCGGUAAUAC
rnacentral:rRNA from 1 species